rnacentral:rRNA from 1 species
UACGGAGGGUGCGAGCGUUGUCCGGAAUCAUUGGGCGUAAAGGGUGCGUAGGCGGCGCGGUAAGUCGGGUGUGAAAUCUUGGAGCUUAACUCCGAAACUGCAUUCGAUACUGCCGUGCUUGAGGACUGGAGAGGAGACUGGAAUUUACGGUGUAGCGGUGAAAUGCGUAGAUAUCGUAAGGAAGACCAGUGGCGAAGGCGGGGUCUCUGGACAGUUCCUGACGCUGAGGCACGAAGGCCAGGGGGAGCAAACGGGG